rnacentral:lncRNA from 1 species
AUACGAGCCCACCACUCCCAUUCCAUGGUAUGGAACCGUAUGCCGCGCCAGACUAUACCGCGUGUAGUCGUGCUCGUCUGUAAAAAAUCCGCACACGCAAAUCCGAGCGGCGACGAUGCACGUGCUCGGUCAUACACCGGUGAAGAGGUCAGCCGUUAACUCCGGUCGACCCGUCUUCUACGUAACGAAUAAGUACUCUCGGAGGAAACCAGUCGUGAUAACGCGUGUAGCGUCCCAACGAUCAAACGUUUUAACGGAAUCCAUAGAAACGCGAAGAUCAGAAUACCAUGAAGAAGUUACGUGGAACUGGUCCGGAUGAAAUACGGGAUAACAAGGCGGAGAGCAGUAAGUCGUUGUUCGUGGUGGUGUCAUAACGCGCUGUGCAAUGACAUCUCGCUAUUACGAGGCACAUUGCGCUACACACCACCACUUGUAAUUCCUUAAUGACUCGGAAUGCCGGCUCUCUGUUCGAAGGGAGUGAAAGUCGCGGUUGAACGCGGGCCUCGCGAUAUCCACCGAAAGAGAGAGAGAGAGAGAGAGAGACGCUGCUGCUGCCUCCAGCCUCGAAGACGAGAACACGACGAUAUCGCCAAGCCGUUUCUUCCCCGUGUGUAUCUUUCUUCUUGGUGAACCGAGACACGUGUAUGGCAACGUCUAACAAAGUCGAUAUGAGAACAUCCAUCAUCCUCCGAAAGAUGUCUACAAAAUGGUCUGAUAAAUAGUAACGUAACGUACGUCAACGAGCGCAUUUAUAACGUUUAUCUGUCGGGUAUCUGGUACCGUGUAUCGAUACUUCCUAAUCGAAUACAAAAUUUCCAAUCGGAAACGUUGCUGUCGUUUACGAUCGGCCGACCAUUCUUCGAUCCGGCCAAGUCGAUUUUGCCAACGUGAGCCAGCAGAGAACGCUAUGAACGACUUAUUUUCUCGCAUCAGGGCCGCGACAGUGGAGGCGACGAGGACGAUUACGUGUUCUGGAAGGACACAAGAGGGGACAGCGAGACACAAGGCAGAACGAAACAGAGAAGCAAAGAGGAUAAUUCAGUGACUUCGAAGCCGGUUUUCCAUGGCAGCCUAUCACGAAACUCGCGAGCAACGACGAACAAGAGGGAUGAGUCACGGCUGCUCACUCUUCCCACUCUUACCACCGUGUGGCGAGGUUGCAAAAAAAGAAAAAGAGUCUGCGAGCAGCAACGCGAAAGACAGAGAACAGCCAGAAGAUGAAGAAGGUGGUAAAGAAACGAGGAGAUUAGCCCUGACGAUCUCGAGGCUACGUUUCGCCUACGCGUGGCCAGCUCGACGACCUGAGAUAUUUUACGAUGGAUUUAUAACGGACGAUGGCGAAACCAAGAGCAUUUUGUUGAACAGACAUUUUGCACGCGUUUCGUUUUUAGAAUCGCUGCUAGGAAUCUCAGACGUUGUUUAAACAGAAUCGUGCUCGAUUACUUAUCGAGUGUACGUCAUGUUAUCCGUGCUACAACGUAGAUCUUGAUCGACGAUAAAACGAAGGAUAAAGAGAUUUUGCCGCGUCAUAGAAGUCGAUGCUUUAAGUUGACGAAGAAGCAUUUAGAUAGUACAAUUAACGGAAGAAGGUUUUCGAUAGUCGUCGACCGGGGGAACCGAGCUAUAAAUAUCCAAGCAGAAAAAUCGGGACGCAAGAAAAGCGUACAAAGAUCCGAUAAGGUAAGAUUCUUCACUCACCUCUGCAAGAGGCUCCUCC